CAUGCCUGGCUGCUUUUCGCUUAUUCAAGUGAGUAAAACUUUACCUUUUUGGCACAAGUACUCUGGUAUAGUUUAUGGCAGUAUUUAUUAAAGCAAUAUAAUAUGAUCCAGUAAUUUCCUCGGUGUAUAAACUCAGGAAUGAUCACUGUGUCCACCAAAAAACAUGUGCUAGGAUGUUUAUAAAAGUUCUAUUCAUAGCUAAAAAAAAACUAACAGGCAACCCAAAUUCUCAUCAAAAGAAAAAUGGACAUAUAGGGAUAUAUUCAAACAAUGGAAUACCAAGAAUGAACUGUCUAUGCCUCUUUGCAACCAGGUGGAUGAACCUCACAAACAUCAUGAUGAGUGAGAGUAACCAGAAACGAAAACAGCGCUUAUCAUAUGUGUCCAUUAAUACAAGGUCCAAAACAGGUAAGAGGAACCAGUGAUGCCCGGGGUCAUGAAACCGAGAGGGGAAGGAAGUGUAAGAGGGUGGUGGGGGCAAGUGGUGUUCUGCCUCUUGAUCUAGUGCUGAAGUCCUGGUUCUCUUUUCAUCAUGAUUUCUGAACUUUUCUGUAUGUAUAUUAUACUUCCAUUAGAAGCGUAUGUUUUAAAUUAAAACUUUCCACCAAAUUCCAAAAGGAAAAGGUGACCUUUUCCUUUUUAUGGACCUUUAGGAAGGAAGUUGAGAAAGCUGAGAAAAUUCUCAGUUCACUGCACAGCUCUCACUCCCAUCCUCUCCUUCUGGAUCUAUAAAACUGUCUUGCCAGGGUAGAUUGGAGCCUGCGUAUUUAACAUUUGCAUUUCCUUACACACUUUGAAUAUUGCACCGGGAAUUGCUCACUUUGAAGUCGAGGAGCCCUAGCUUCAUAUGGGACUCCUAGUAGAUGCCUCUGUUUUCCAAAGGGAAUAUCCUCUUUUCCUGUGCCCUGAUUGUCCGAACAUAUGGGUCAGAGUUUAUGGCCAGUAACUGUUUUGGGUGAGAGGGCACUUUCAAAUUCACCACAGUCUGAUGUUUAGCAAAAGCCUGGAAGAUUGCCCCAAGGCUGUGGCACAUGUUCACAGGAGUUGGCUGGGAAUGCUGGUCCCUAGACACAGACUGGGCCCCCUGGCCUGUAGGGUUGCUUUUACCUCAUUGCAGUUCCUAGGUCAGACCACCAGACUGAUGUUGCUGAAGACAUGCACUUUGUGACACACUCUGCUUUACAGAACCCUUUAGAGGAGAAAUGCAACCUACUUGAAAAACAGGAAACUGGUCCUUUUCAGCAUGCAAUUUAUUUUUAUCUUAAGAACAUGUAAACCAGGUAAGCUUCUCCUUUCAGUGCUAGCAGUUUGUUUCUUUCUUUUUUUUUUUUAAUUUUAGGUGGACACAAUAUCUUUAUUUUACAUUUAUGUGGUGCUGAGGAUCGAACCCAGUGACCUAGGCGAGCACGCUACCACUGAGCUACAACCCCAGACUGCUUAAAGCCAAAUGUGUUCAGUAUGUACCCAGGGCUUUACCGUAUGCAUGUUUGUAUUUACAAAUCCCGGGCUUCAUUUUGUACCUCUAGACUUAUUUCUUUCCUUCUUUCUUCCUACUAUUCAUUUAUGUUAACUUGGUGCAUAUUCCAUACCUAUUUUUAGAUUGACUUUCAGUGAUGUGCUAGAACGCUUGCUUGCACCUGCUGAAUAUCAUGGAAUGUUGUGAGGCCCUUCUUGAACAGUUGAUAGCUUGAAAUUAGCCACCAUGGGAGUGUUUCCACCAUCCAUAUAGACAAUCACCGCAAAAUACAUCUUUACUUUUUUUCUCCCAGGGAGCUAAUAUACUAGCACACCACUGUUUAUAUCCUUAUGGGAAAGGUAAAGUCAAAAUAAAUGUGUUUUUAAAAUUAUUAUUAUGGGGCUGGGGUUGUGGCUCAGUGGUAGAGCGCUCGCCUCCCACUUGCGAGACCCACAUAAAAAUAAAUGAAUAAAAUAAAGGUGUUGUGUCCAACUACAACUUUAUAUAUAAUUAUUAUGAAUAAUCUACUUAUUUAAAUAUUGUCUAUUAUUUAAGAUCUUUCUCUUAUUCUUUUAAAAGUUUUAAUGAAACAUUUUUAAUGGUUAAAAGAGUGCUUUAAUUUUGACUUCAGGUAGUGUCAGAGACAUAGGGGGCUCUUCAAAUACUGCCAAAAGUUACUGUAGAUGCAGAGUCUGGGUGAUGAGGAAGUUAUUAAUGGCCAAAUACAUGGGAGGAAAUGAUACUCAGAAGAGAGGAAUGGAGUUCUGCUUUUGGCAAGUGGAGAAAGGAGCUGCAGCUGAAAAGCGACAGAAUGGUUAACGGAUCUGGGAUACUUUCGAAAAUGGCAAGAAAGCAGAAAACUGACAAGAAUGUUUUAAAGUAAAAUGAACGGUACUCGAUGGGAUCAUCUCAUUGGGCAGCAAGGUGCAAGCGCUUCUGCAGCUGUCGGAGCGCCCCCAGCAGGUGGGGAGCAUCUUACCACUCGAAAUUUAUUUUUAGUUGAUACAUAAAGACAUAAAAUUGGGGCUGGGGAUGUGGCUCAAGAGGUAGCGCGCUCACCUGGCAUGCGUGUGGCCCGGGUUCGAUCCUCAGCACCACAUACCAACAAAGAUGUUGUGUCUGCUGAAAACUAAAAAAUAAAUAUUAAAAAAAU
rnacentral:lncRNA from 1 species